ACUCUCUCUCACUCACUCACUGCAUCUCGUUUCGUUGUGCAAACACGAACGACGAACGAAGGGGUUCGUUCAACACUCAACACUCAGCGGGAAUGACGAAAAGAACGUUCAACCACUGCGUCGCAGCACGAUUGCAUCCUAGUCCGAUUCCGAUUUUCCGUCUCUUCGCGACGUGACUGUUCGCAACUGGUCGCAUUUAUUGCUGUCGUUAUUAUUGUUGCUGGUAAUAUUAUUUUCAUUGUCGCGUGCACAUGCAGCUGAAAAUGCUGCGAAAUACUGUUUGCUUACGUGCUGUUUGCUUGCGUGCGGUAACGCAGCGACGAAGUACUUACGCCUUGAUUACAUCCUGCUGGAUUAUCCUCCCAAAGAGAGAAAAUGGUCGCAGAAAAGUACAGCCAAGCCGAUCCUGAGCUGAAGGAGGAAUUGCGCACGAUUGCCCAGCAGAUCGUAGCACCCGGCAGAGGUAUCCUUGCCGCCGACGAGUCAACCGCGACGAUAGGCAAGCGUCUUCAGGACAUCAACGUGGAGAACAAUGAGGAAAACCGCAGGGCCUACAGACAACUGCUUUUCACCACAGCAAAGGACGUCAUCGGACAGCACAUCUCCGGAGUGAUCCUCUUCCACGAGACCCUCUAUCAGAAGGCCAACGAUGGCACGCCGUUCGUCGAGCUGCUGAAGCAGCGUAACAUUAUCCCCGGCAUCAAGGUCGACAAGGGCGUGGUGCCGCUCUUCGGCACAAACAACGAGUGCACAACUCAGGGUCUCGACGAUCUGCAGGCGCGCUGCAUCCAAUACAAAAAGGACGGCUGCCACUUCGCCAAGUGGCGAUGCGUAUUGAAGAUCACCAAGGACACGCCGAGCAAGCUCGCGAUCCUGGAGAACGCCAACGUGCUGGCGCGCUACGCCUCCAUCUGCCAGAGCGCCAGAAUCGUGCCGAUCGUGGAGCCUGAAAUUCUGCCGGACGGCGAUCACGAUCUCGCCCGUUGCCAGCAGGUGACGGAGGAGGUGUUGGCGGCCGUUUACAAGGCACUCGCGGACCAUCAUGUGUACCUCGAAGGCACGCUGCUGAAGCCCAACAUGGUGACACCAGGCCAGAGCUGCCCGACGAGAGCGACUCCGCAGGAAAUCGCUGGGGCUACGGUGACCGCGUUGAUGCGCACCGUGCCACCGGCGGUGCCUGGCGUCACUUUCCUCAGUGGCGGCCAGUCCGAGGAGGAAGCAUCGGUCAAUCUGGACGCCAUCAACAAGUAUCCAGCGAAGAAGCCCUGGGCGCUCACCUUCAGCUACGGACGCGCUCUUCAAGCUUCCGUGCUCCGUGCGUGGGCCGGAAAAGCCGACCAGGUGGCCGCCGGUCAGGAAGAGCUGAUCAAGAGGGCAAAGGCAAACGCCGCAGCCUGCCAAGGCAAAUACGUCGCUGGUAGCAUUUCUAGCAAAGCCGCUGGCACCUCUCUCUACGUCAAAUCUCACGCCUACUAAAAAAAAAAAGCAAAAAAAUCUUGCCUUUCCGCACAGAGUCAGUUUCUCCUGUGGCAGCCAACAGCGAAUCGGCGCUUGGCAAGUAUGGGGGUGGCGUCGCCGGUGCCGCGGGGGAUGCAGCGCUCUUCGUCGCUAACCACGCAUACUAGAUCUAAACCCAUAGAGAGAGAGAGAGAGAGAGAGAGAGAGAUUACGAUGCGAAAGAGUAAGGGAUUAGACGCAAGAUUAAGUCGCCGAACCGAAGUCGCUGGAUCAUCAUCGCCGUUGUUUUCUGUCGCGUAGUUCCGCGCGAAAGACAGAGAGAAGGAAUUCUACCGAGGAGGAUUGAGAACGAUUCGCGGGCAUAUCACGAAACCACGCGCCAAAGUUCAAAGUUUUCGAGAUCGUUUGUCGCCACGUGGCUUUACCGUGGCGCACGUCGUUUCUCACGAACAACCCCGUAUAUAUGCCCAAGCCGGGCUUUUCAUUUACUUUGUCUUUCUUUUCUCCUUUUUUUCAUUCCAUGAAGCUCAAUCGAUCGUGCAGCGAUAGUUAAUUUGAUACCAUGCCGUCUGACUCGAUUCCAGUGAUUCGGAUUGAUAUUCCGUAUGACGACUUUGUCCGGACGAUUGGUGAAAAUUUUCUGGUAUAGGGACACCUUGUGGGUGUCAUCUUGUCCGACAGCGGCGGAUAUGUCCGACGAUCAAUUUGGCGGAGAAUCUUGUGAAAAAUGUACAGAUAUCGAGCCGAUAGGUUUCCUUUUCGACAUAUAGAGCCAUUUCUCUCGAAUACGGUUCAUUUUUACGAGCUACGCGAGAUCCAUCUGCAUCAGUGAUCGAAGAAGUUCCAAACAUACUAUUACACACCGAUCGCGAACAGAUUUCGCGGCAUCCGAUAUUAUCUGACAUGCGAUCAUUAUUGUGUUGAAUAAUAUUAUAGGAUACAUACAAGGCAAAUAUAAAUUAUAUAAAUAUAAAUAUGUGUGUGUGUGUGUGUGUGUAUGUAUAUGUGUGUACACAUAUAUACGCAUAUAAUCAAUGUCGUUGUACUCUACGUGUAUAAAAUAAUAACAUCGUAAGAAGAAAGAAGAAAUACGUAAGAUAAAGCGUAAGAUAAAAAUAUUAAAUGUUGUUUAUUAGCGAAUGAGUCGAAUAUUACAAAACCGUGCUGUAUUGUGUCGUCUAAUUAUACAAUAUAAUAUCUCGCAUAGUCUACUCGGAUAAUCUACUUGAGAACUAUCUCGCAUGUCGAUGUUACAUCUAAAUAUUUUCAUUGUAAUCUAGGUCACCAAAUACAACUGUGGAGGGCAAAAAAAGUA
rnacentral:misc_RNA from 1 species